UCGUGGUACGAGCUGUCUGGUUAAUUCCGAUAACGAACGAGACUCUAACCUGCUAAAUAGUACAGUUGCAAACAUUAUACGGACCUCCAUCUUGUCUGCUUCGGUAGGCAAAUGGAACCGUAUAAGCAGGUGAAACUUCUUAGAGGAACUGGCGCUUAAAAAAGCGCACGAGAAAGAGCAAUAACA
rnacentral:rRNA from 1 species